CCACCAAGCAUGGAGCCUGAUGUGGGGCUGGAUCCCAGGACCCCGGGAUCAUGACCUGAGCCGAAGGCAGACGCUUAACCGACUGAGCCCCCUGGGCACCCCUAAACCUCUGUUUUAAGCGUUACCCCAGGAGGAGAGAUUGAAGUGACGCCGUCUGCAUGAAAGAACCAAUCACUGAGCAAGAGAGCAUUCAUCCUAAUUUCUACCUUCCCUCCGCUCAAGGUUAAAGUAAGGAUUAUUUUACCUCGGCUCUCUUAUACUCAACGUGCCCAGUUUGAGGCUUUGCCGGUAAAGGCUGUGACAGAAGGAGCAAGGAAGGUGCAGAGCUGCGCCCGAGCCUAGACGGGAGCUGUUCCUAUGCGAGAGCACACCCUGGAUGUUGGGAGGCUUCUGCGUCCCACAAAAACGUCUACACAUGAGCACACCCUUUCUCAGAGAAGAAGAACCCAUAGCUCCAUAAAACAAAAUAAGUAAACAAAAACAAAAACAAAGACAAAUACAAAACCCAAGUUGGCUGUUAAUGCAAUAAAUGAAGUUGAAACAUGAGAUUCCUAAUGAAAUCACCUCUUCUUGAUGGGGGCAGGGAGCGGAUAUUAACAAGACCUCUGGAAGUUCCUAAUAUAUGUAUGUAUUUAUAGAUACUGAGACAAAUGGGCUGACCUGAGAAAAUGGCUUUUCUUUUUUGCCACGGUAAUAUAAAAAAAAAAAUUAGAACUUUUUUCAGUGUAACCAAUAAAUGAUUUUAAAUGCUGUAGAUAAACUAUAAACUUGUAACUCUU